GACUCAAAAAACAAACAAACAAAAAAAUUGGAACAGUAUAGAGAAGAUUAGCAUGGACCCUGCGCAAGGAUGACACGCAAUCGUGAAGUGUUCCAUAUUUAA